rfam:Bombyx mori DNA, contig: Bm_scaf49_contig25922, strain: p50T/Dazao, build 2, whole genome shotgun sequence.
UUAACUCAAAUUUGUAUGGAGUUGGAACGUUUGCCCCGGUUUGCUGCUAGGAGCGCUGUCCCAGCUGUAUACAAAUUUGAGUUA